UACGGGGGGGGCAAGCGUUGUUCGGAAUUAUUGGGCGUAAAGGGCUCGUAGGUGGCUCGCUAGGUCGGACGUGAAAUCCCUCAGCUUAACUGGGGAACUGCGUCUGAUACUGGAUGGCUUGGAUUCGGGAGAGGAAUGCGGAAUUCCAGGUGUAGCGGUGAAAUGCGUAGAUAUCUGGAGGAACACCGGUGGCGAAGGCGGCAUUCUGGACCGACAUUGACGCUGAGGAGCGAAAGCCAGGGGAGCAAACGGG
rnacentral:rRNA from 1 species